rnacentral:rRNA from 1 species
AUUGAACGCUGGCGGCAGGCCUAACACAUGCAAGUCGAGCGGAUGAAGGGAGCUUGCUCCUGGAUUCAGCGGCGGACGGGUGAGUAAUGCCUAGGAAUCUGCCUGGUCGUGGGGGAUAACGUCCGGAAACGGGCGCUAAUACCGCAUACGUCCUGAGGGAGAAAGUGGGGGAUCUUCGGACCUCACGCUAUCAGAUGAGCCUAGGUCGGAUUAGCUAGUUGGUGGGGUAAAGGCCUACCAAGGCGACGAUCCGUAACUGGUCUGAGAGGAUGAUCAGUCACACUGGAACUGAGACACGGUCCAGACUCCUACGGGAGGCAGCAGUGGGGAAUAUUGGACAAUGGGCGAAAGCCUGACCCAGCAAUGCCGCGUGUGUGAAGAAGGUCUUCGGAUUGUAAAGCACUGUUAGUUGGGAGGAAGGGCAGUAAGUUAAUACCUUGCUGUUUUGACGGUACCAACAGAAUAAGCACCGGCUAACUUCGUG